GACGAACGCUGGCGGCGUGCCUAAUACAUGCAAGUCGAACGCAGUGGGGACGGUUGAGUAACACGUGGGUAACCUCCCAUCAGAGGGGAUAACACUUGGAAACUGGUGCUAAACUGAUACUGAUGUAUGGACCCGCGGGGCAUUAGCUAGUUGGUGAGGUAACGGCUUACCAAGGCCACGAUGCAGAGCCGGCCUGAGAGGGUGAUCGGCCACACUGGGACUGAGACACGGCCCAGACUCCUACGGGAGGCAGCAGUGGGGAAUCUUGGGCAAUGGACGAAAGUCUGACCGAGCAACGCCGCGUGAGUGAAGAAGGUUUUCGGAUCGUAAAACUCUGUUGUUAGAGAAGCGGUAUCUAACCAGAAAGCCACGGCUAACUACGUGCCAGCAGCCGCGGUAAUAC
rnacentral:rRNA from 1 species